CUGGGGAAUUUUGGACAAUGGGCGCAAGCCUGAUCCAGCCAUGCCGCGUGCAGGAUGAAGGCCUUCGGGUUGUAAACUGCUUUUGUACGGAACGAAACGGCCUUUUCUAAUAAAGAGGGCUAAUGACGGUACCGUAAGAAUAAGCACCGGCUAACUACGUGCCAG
rnacentral:rRNA from 1 species